rnacentral:misc_RNA from 1 species
AAAAGAUAUUCAAACCACAAGACAAGUUUGGGUGAAUCACAAUGAAUUCAUAUCUGCUUCAGUCACACAUAUUCAACAAGAGGACUACUGCAAGUACUCAAAAUACCAAAUUCAAGCUAAACAUCAAAUUAGUUCCUCAUGAUAUAAACUCUCCUCCGCUCUGACUCAAAAUGGUACCAUAAUUACUACUCAAAAACUAGAGAACGCUGCAAUUACAAAGCCAAUGGCUAGAGAUCCAACAGAGAUCGAUAUCCCAUGAGAACUUGAGGCCCCCGGAGACGGUGCUGGUGCUUGCACGUUCAAUCCAGAGUUCGUGCCAGGUGCAGUAGCAAUAGAGGGUGGGGUUACACCAGGUGCUGCAGUAGGAGCCAAAGACAAUCCACAAUUAGAGGCGGAAGGGGCAUGGAGUUUGCAUGCAGCAGGAAGAGUAAGAGCCUUAGUAACAUUCAACACAACACCCAACUGAGCACUACUCUUGAAAGCCUCACAGAGACACUCUGCAUCAGUUUUCAACACAGUUUUCAAUCCAGAGCAACAAGUACCCUCUGGCUUGGUUGCGGUACUGCCGUUUGAAACAUAAGACAAACAGUCAGCCAUGUUCAACACCAAACUGGAGCAGUCGACGGAGGGCGCCGGAGCAGCGGCGUGGUGAUGGGUGGCGGCAUGAGUGGCAGAGAUAAAGAAGAGGGAGAGAAUGCAAAGGAAGAAAGAGAGAUUUGACGCCAUUUUGAGAGAGAUUGAAGGGUAGUAACCAGUGAAGAAGUGGGUUUUCUUGUUGGAGAUAAAUAAAG